rnacentral:rRNA from 1 species
AUUGAACGCUGGCGGCAUGCUUUACACAUGCAAGUCGGACGGCAGCACAGAGAAGCUUGCUUCUUGGGUGGCGAGUGGCGAACGGGUGAGUAAUAUAUCGGAACGUACCGAGUAAUGGGGGAUAACAAAUCGAAAGAUUAGCUAAUACCGCAUAUUCUCUGAGGAGGAAAGCAGGGGACCUUCGGGCCUUGCGUUAUUCGAGCGGCCGAUAUCUGAUUAGCUAGUUGGUGGGGUAAAGGCCUACCAAGGCGACGAUCAGUAGCGGGUCUGAGAGGAUGAUCCGCCACACUGGGACUGAGACACGGCCCAGACUCCUACGGGAGGCAGCAGUGGGGAAUUUUGGACAAUGGGCGCAAGCCUGAUCCAGCCAUGCCGCGUGUCUGAAGAAGGCCUUCGGGUUGUAAAGGACUUUUGUCAGGGAAGAAAAGGCUGUUGCUAAUAUCGACAGCUGAUGACGGUACCUGAAGAAUAAGCACCGGCUAACUACGUG